UCAAACUUGGUCAUUUAGAGGAAGUAAAAGUCGUAACAAGGUUUCCGUAGGUGAACCUGCGGAAGGAUCAUUAAUGAAUAAACUUGGUUUAGGUUGUUGCUGGCUCUUUGGGGCAUGUGCACACUUAUUCCGACUUUAUUAACCACCUGUGCACUUUAUGUAGAUCUUGAAUAACUCUCGAGGUAACACUCGGUCUAAAGAAUUGCAGUACUUGUGCCAGCUUUUCUUUACAAUUCAGAUCUAUGCCUUCAUAUACACCACUGAUGUAAUAGAAUGUGUUAAUCAGUGCAUUAUUCAUGCCUGUAAUUCUAUAUACAACUUUCAACAACGGAUCUCUUGGCUCUCGCAUCGAUGAAGAACGCAGC
rnacentral:misc_RNA from 1 species